rnacentral:tRNA from 1 species
GGGGGUGUAGCUCAGUGGUAGAGCGCUCGCUUUGCGUGCGAGAAGUCCCGGGUUCAAACCUCGGCACCUCCA